UCCCUCAUCUCCUGCAACCUUAUCAUCUCCCGUGCUUCUCUCUUCCUCGCAUCUCUCAUUCUCUCUCCCUCAUUUAUCCUCUAUCUCUCUCCUACCUUAUCUGCCCGCGGAGGGAGCGGCAUGCGGCGGGAGCGGUGUGCGGUGGCCAACGGGUGCGGCGGCCGGCGGGCGCAGCGUGCGGCGGCCGAUGGGUGCUGCGUGCGGUGGACGUGGCGGUCGGCGGGCCCCUAGACCUCCCUUCUGCUGUGAGCGCGGACGGCUGGACCUCCUGCGGCCAAGAGUUCUUGGAACUGACGAGUGCAGGCCCGGUGCCCGGAUUGUGCCCACGGCCGUGGACAUGCAGGCGCUGUUCAACGCGGACGGCGUUGUGAAGCCGCGGCGGUGCGGCGCUCCGACGACGUUGUGGAGCUGCGGCGACGCGGAGGAGCGCGCGACGGGCGCGCUCGCUCGGCGGCUCGACGCAGGGCUGCAUGAGCCGUGGGGGGGGGGCGCGCUCGCUCUGCGGCACGGGCAUGGCGGCGGCCUGGCGCGGCGGCGAUCUGGACAAGCUGCGGCGGCCUGGCCAGUGGCGGCGGGGCUGGCCUGGACGGCGGGCGCAGCUAUUUUUUUUGUUUUUUUUAAAUCAAUUACUAGGGGCGGGUGACGGGAUGACCCGUCCCUAGAAAUCGAUUUUUAGGGACGGGUGACGGGUGACCCGUCCUUUGAAAUCUAUUUUUAGGGGCGGUUGAUGGAGUGACCCGCCCCUUAAAUAGAUUUGUAGAGGCGGAUGAAGGUGUGACCCGCCUCUAGAAAUGGGUUUUCAGGGACGGGAACGUUAUCCGCUCCUGCAAAUACCAUUUUUGGCUGCGAAAAGCAGCAACGGGUCUGAGAUCUGCCCCAUCCGCCCCUAGAAAUAGCAUUUUGACCGCCCCCACAAAUUCUUUACAUUGUAGUGCCAGGUUGCAUCAGAACACUUACGACGACACGUGGGGACCAUUAGGGAUGUAGAGUAUUGCACAUAUAAAACUACUAUAUGUUUUUAACAA